UACGUAGGGUGCAAGCGUUGUCCGGAUUUAUUGGGCGUAAAGAGCUCGUAGGCGGUUUGUCGCGUCUGCCGUGAAAGUCCGGGGCUUAACUCCGGAUCUGCGGUGGGUACGGGCAGACUAGAGUGCAGUAGGGGAGACUGGAAUUCCUGGUGUAGCGGUGAAAUGCGCAGAUAUCAGGAGGAACACCGAUGGCGAAGGCAGGUCUCUGGGCAUUAACUGACGCUGAGGAGCGAAAGCAUGGGGAGCGAACAGG
rnacentral:rRNA from 1 species